CCUACGGGAGGCAGCAGUAAGGAAUAUUGGUCAAUGGACGAAAGUCUGAACCAGCCAUGCCGCGUGAAGGAUUAAGGCCCUCUGGGUUGUAAACUUCUUUUAUCUGGGACGAAAAAAGGGUAUUCUUACUCACUUGACGGUACCAGAGGAAUAAGCACCGGCUAACUCCGUGCCAGCAGCCGCGGUAAUACGGAGGGUGCAAGCGUUAUCCGGAUUUACUGGGUUUAAAGGGUGCGUAGGUGGGCUUGUAAGUCAGUGGUGAAAUCUCCGGGCUUAACCCCGGAAACUGCCAUUGAUACUAUAGGUCUUGAAUUAUCUGGAGGUAAGCGGAAUAUGUCAUGUAGCGGUGAAAUGCUUAGAUAUGACAUAGAACACCAAUUGCGAAGGCAGCUUACUACGGAUAUAUUGACACUGAGGCACGAAAGCGUGGGGAUCAAACAGGAUUAGAUACCCUGGUAGUCCACGCCCUAAACGAUGGAUACUCGACAUCAGCGAUACACUGUUGUGUGUGAGACGAAGAUAUAAUACUACCACCGAGGUAGUACG
rnacentral:rRNA from 1 species